rnacentral:rRNA from 1 species
UACCAGCACCCCGAGUGGUCGGGACGUUUUAUUGGGCCUAAAGCAUCCGUAGCCGGUUCUACAAGUCUUCCGUUAAAUCCACCUGCUUAACAGAUGGGCUGCGGAAGAUACUAUAGAGCUAGGAGGCGGGAGAGGCAAGCGGUACUCGAUGGGUAGGGGUAAAAUCCGUUGAUCCAUUGAAGACCACCAGUGGCGAAGGCGGCUUGCCAGAACGCGCUCGACGGUGAGGGAUGAA